rnacentral:tRNA from 1 species
GGUAAAGUGCCUGAUUAAAGGAUUAUUUUGAUAGAAUAAAUCAAGUAACUUACAUUACCUUUACCU